rnacentral:lncRNA from 1 species
AGUUUUUGAUAGAAAUGCUGAUUAAAUUGAGGAGAUGAUGUAGUUUAUGUUUCCGACAAAGGAAGCUUAAUUAUUUUUGAGACGAUUUAUAGUGUUAAGUUAAGAGGAUACCUGGCUAGAUAUAGAGCCGAGGUGAGUGAGUGAGAUUUACUAUAGAGAUGAGUCGAAUUCAUGAGACAAUUAAAUUGUCGUUAGAUUUUGACUGAUUGAGAGGUCAUGUUUGAGUGAGAAUAAUUGAUUUUUUUUGUGACCUACGUGGUGAUAAUAUUUGAGAUUGAUUGAUUUAUAAUUUUUCUUGGACGUGUAACACAGAGAUAAUUUUUUUUAAAUGGUGAAUUAUGAUCUUGCU